AUGCUUGCUUCAGCAACACAUAUACUAAAAUUGGAAUGAUACAGAGAAGAUUAGCAUGGCCCUUGCACAAGGGUGACAUGAAAACUCAUGAAGCAUUCCAUAUUUUU
ensembl:snRNA U6 U6 spliceosomal RNA